UCUAGAACUCGAGAUAUGGGCUGAACACUAAACAGUGUCUGGGCUUCAGGAUAGAUUCGGACUUCUCUGUUUUUGCUACAAUUUGGACUUGAAAACAGCCUUUUUAAAUCUUGGACUCCCCAUGAAAGUUUUAGGCCUAUGUCUUAGCUUUCCAUC
rfam:Populus trichocarpa scaffold_16_contig_117, whole genome shotgun sequence.